UGCGCCGUCAGUCCGAGCGCCGCUGCCUGCCCGCGCGGGGAUGCUCCCAAACGACCGACCGCAUUUAAAAGGACGGUCGGUGACUUUACACCCAUCAGUCAGUAUUCUUACCAAGUGAUAAUCCUGAAGGAUCCACCCAUGACGUCGAGUUGGCAUUUUGUUGGAACAACACAACCAAAAUAUUUACCUAUUGCGUUGAAAACCCGGGUAGCUUUACAUUUGCAGGAGACAGUUAUAUUUCGUUCUUUUUUUUUUAACAGACUGUUUCGAGCGCCUUUUUUUCUGCAGAGAAACAACGCGUAACGCGUGUAUCUCGGCUUCUGACCAAUCAGUUCUAGCGCCUCGAGCACAGGGGUAUAAACGCGAGGCAGUUGUAGAGACGCCUGCAACUGAAGCGUUGAACGCAAGAGCCGGUGAUAUCUCGUAAGGUAAUGCUAGCCCGAUGCUGUCAUUGUCAACUAAAUGCCAAGUUUUACAAAAUGCAGACUUCUUUGAUGGCUUUCGAGUGUUGACACGCUUCUGUGCGGGACGUUUUACAAAGCUGCCGUAAAUUGUCAUGGAGCCCUGUAGGUUAACUCGCCGCAUCCCAACAGCUAAGCUAACGCUGCUGGACGUUAGCUAGUCAGCUAUGCUGGUGUAAAGUGACUUGUACCGGCCUUAUCGAUUUGGAUACAACGUAGUCGUUGACGUGGUGUAAAGUUGAAAACACUUGGCCUUUGCCAGUCCAACUGUAGUGAUAACGCUAUUUUAUAGUCACUGCAGUUCCGAAUGUCAGUUAGGUUAGCUAGCAAACAGGCUGGCUAAUGGUCAGAGUUGUCUUGCAACCUUAGCGCUUAACAGGUAUUCAGAUAUUUCAGUAUUUCUCUUUCGUACCGGUAGCUAACUAACGCCCGGGUCACCGUUCCUUUCAAACGUCGUGGGACGAAAGUGAAUGACACAUACCGAUAUAUUAUUCCGUGUUAACGGUGGCUAACCCACCGCUAGCGGCUAAAGGAACCGGUGGGCGUGGUGUCACGUGUUUGCCGGAGCGCUGUCAACAGCGCGGCGGGCCGCCACGUGCAGAGCCGAGCGUGCCACAACUUACUUCAUUCCACCGUCAAUGCUAAAACUUUAAUAUGCUCCAAUAUUGCUGAUGAGUUUAUUGUUUGUAUAGUGAGACGUUGUCAUAUCUUAUUUUAUCUACGUGUUAUCUGCCAUGGUUUAGGGGUUGUCGGAGAUUACCUCUUGACUAUAGCAUAGUUUUUGUACUCAUGACGUAUUUUUGCACCGUCUUAGUUUGGUUAAAACAGUUUGUAUGCCGAUUCUUUGAUAGGAGAUGGAGCUUAACGUUUUCUAUUUACCAAGUUGCAUAAUGUUACUUUAGAAAAUUGACCGGCAUAAGUAUAACAUUGUGUUUAGAAAUAAUUUUUUGAUUGAGAUUUGUCACUGGCGGUGUUUUUCUCCCCGAUCGAGGUCAAACUAUCCUUUGCAUGCUUUAACAGUAUAAGAGUGUCUCUUAUAUUUUUUUAAAAGCUCUGCAAUAAAAUGAUUGGCGUUAUCUACUAUUUAUUGUUCUCAAUUAACUGAUUUACAUUCUGGCUUCACCGCUGUCUGUUUUCAAUCAAUGGCAAAUUGCUUCCCUAACCAAUAGUCUGAUGUUUUCCUAACAGUGAUAUGGAAGCAGGACAUCUAAUGGUAGCAGUUGGUACCAGUAACUGCAGGGCAAUUUGACCUAAACAAAAACUAUGAGUAUGAUUACUUCUCUUAUAUGAAUUGACAAAUAAUUUUACUGUGCGCAGAACCAGACGUGUCAGAAUGGCGCUUCCUGUUUGAGAUGAUUGCGAACGUCUAGAAGCAUUUGACACUCAAUUUUUCAUUUUAAUGACAAACUCGUUACCAGAUGGUUGUAUGACUGAUGAACUCGUCAUUAAGGCUCUGGAGUGCGGCCCAUAUCAACUCAAAGAAAGGUCAACAGUAUGAUGCGCUGGACUUCACUGGAAUUUGUUCAUGUAUUGUCUUCAUUUUUCCUUUGUUUUUUUUAAAGAAUAAAAUGGAAAUAAGAAAAUACUUGAAUGCACUAUCAAGUCUCGGUGGUGCAUGGCGCGUCCUCUGUUACGGCGUUAGUGUUUUAUUACUUGAGAUACUCAAGCUUUUUUGAAACGUGUCUAUUAUAAUGGUUAGUUUUUGCUGAGCAACACGUUCUGCGGCAGCAUUAGGUGGCAGUGUUGCCUAUGUUUUGAAGAAAAGAUGCUCCCCAGCCUCAAACGUGCCAUUGUGUGUUUCUGUCCACCGGCAAUUUAAAUAUGGCUAUAUUGUCGUACGAUUUCUUUUCUUUUUGUUUUCAUUGGGGAGCUAAAUUUAAAGUGAAAGUACAUAAUUAAAGCACAUCCUGUCAACAAAAUGUGUCCAGAUUAAAUAAAUUGGAGUUGUUUUUUUUUAAACGCUGUAAUCUGCAAUGUUCUGUUGUACUUGUUGGUUAUUUUAAAUUACCCCAAGGUGCCGGGUGUUUCCUGUCUUCAUGUCACGGCCAAACAUCGCUUUCCGUGAAUAAUUAAUAGUGACUUUUAUUUUAUAGCGAGUCAUCAAUAUUAAGCAUACUGUAAUCGAUAAGGUAGUUUCUCACCGGAUCAUGUAUGACAGGUGAUCAUGAGCUGACAUGUGGGCUCGUUGAAGUGUCACGUUGAUCUCGAUAAGAUCUGACUGUUUUAUGAGUGACUGCUCUUAAAUUUGGUCCCUUAGUGAAAUCCUGACCUGCUAAAUGAGUUCAAAACCGUUUAUCAUAUGAUUCACAAGGACCACAUAGAAUAGUAGCUGGACAGCCAUAAAACAUUUCAUCAUUUUGCCUGAACAUUAUUGUCAAACCCUAUACUGAAGACUUACGACUUCCCUUAUCUAAUCUAUCUUUGGUACUUAGCCCGAUCCGGUUAGCUCCUACCGUUCUUACUCUCAACCCAAGUAUGUGUUUGCUUAUUUCCCACAAAUGUCAAAAAGGAUACAAUGGCGGAGAGAUGAGUUUUCGACAUUAUGUAAACUCUAUUAUGAAUUGUUGGCGAAGGUAUACUGUUGUGAAAUUCAAGUUGUUUGAUUAUUUUCUAAAUUGUCUGGGCAUAAAGUUAUUGUGGACUCGAGGUCAGAUUUAAGGCAGCAGGGUUGUCCACACUGAUGUAUUAAAGAGACUCUUCUCCACAAUUGUGACUGGUUUUGUUCUUUUACCAAACGUAAUUCCUAAUCUACGUCCGAACUGAUGCCCCGGGGACUCUUCACUGCUUUUGUUCAGGAAACCGUGUGAUGAACACUUAAGUUGCAGCAAAGAAUCCGACCCACUGUUCAAUCAAUGGCCUCGGGAAAAGCACGAUGACUGAUGUGAAAGUCCGUCCCACUGCGAGCAGAAACCCCGCGCCGCCGGAGGUCCUCAAUUCCAAAGGUCCCGGACGAGUGACCAAUCAGCUGCAGUACCUGGAGAAGGUGGUGAUCAAAGCUUUGUGGAGGCAUAACUUCUCGUGGCCGUUUCGCCAGCCAGUUGAUGCAGUUGCACUGUGUCUCCCAGAUUAUUACACAAUCAUAACAAAGCCUAUGGACCUGGGCACUAUUCAGAAGCGUCUUCAGAACAAAUACUACUGGCAAGCACUUCAGUGUAUACAAGACUUCAAUACCAUGUUCACCAACUGCUAUGUGUACAAUCGGCCUGGAGAUGACAUUGUUUUCAUGGCGCAGACCCUGGAGAAGCUCUUUUUGCAGAAACUGACCACAAUGCCUAAGGACGAGUGUGACAUUACAGCCAUCACUGCGAAGGAACCAGUGAAAGGGAGAAAGACAAAUGCAGGUGCCAUAAAGCAGACAUCCCCCGUGUCAGAAGUUGUUCUCCAGCAGACUGUGACGGUGAUUCCACCUGAUCUGAGUAAAUUCAAGCCCCCCACUCAGCUCUCACAAAUGGAUGCUACAAUUAAAAAGGGUUUCAAGAGGAAAGCAGAUGUCACAACCUCCACCCCCUCCGUCCUCACCAGUGGCGUCGUUUCCCUCACUGGGGAUCAUUCAGCGCCUUGCACGCUAUUCUCCCGGAAAGGCAGUAGAAGGCCCAUCAAACCUCCGAAGAAAGACUUGCCCGCCUCAGAGGGCAAGAAGACCCGACUGUCUGAGCAGCUCCGGUGCUGUAAUGACAUCCUGAAGGAGAUGCUCUCCAAGAGACACUACGCAUACGCAUGGCCCUUUUACACCCCUGUUGAUGCGCUCGGUUUGGGCUUGCACGACUACCAUGACAUCAUCAAGCAGCCUAUGGAUCUGAGCGGCAUACGGAGGAAAAUGGAUCAACGCGAGUAUGUAAAUCCAAAGGAAUUUGCCGCUGAUGUCCGACUCAUGUUCUCCAACUGUUAUAAAUACAAUCCACCAACUCAUGAGGUGGUUGUCAUGGCAAGAAAACUGCAGGAAGUUUUUGAGGCCCGAUAUCUGAAGGUGCCCCAAGAAGAGUGCUGUGCCAUACCUUAUCAGCGAGUUGACAAGGCAAAAAAAGAAAGAGUUCAGAGUUCAACCCCUGAAUGCAGAAGCUCCUCAGAGGAUGAGAGCUCCUCCUCCUUCGAGCAGGCGUCGCAGCUGGCCAAUCUCAAGGACCAGGCUGUCCGAGAUGAGCUGAAAAGACUAACACAAGAGCCCCCGAACAGACCUAAGAAGAAAAACAAGUUGAAAAAGGAAAAAAGAGCCAAAGAAAAGGAUAUCGCACGAUUGAAGCACAAGUCCUCAAAGUACAAGUCUGAUGUAGAAAAACUGGCAAACCGCCACAGCUCUGCUUUGCAUGGCAGCAGACACAACAUUCGUGGGGGCACUUCAGCAGUUGAGGGCGACGUCGCGUUAAUGCCAGUCACUUACCAGGAGAAAAAACAGCUCAAGUUGGACAUCGACAAGCUGCCCGGUGACAAACUGGGCAAAUUGGUGAGAAUCAUUCAGGCCAGGGAGUCCUGCCUGCGCGAUUCGGCUCCGGAGGAGAUCGAGGUCGACUUUGAGGUGCUCAAGGCCCCCACGCUCAGAACCCUGCAGAGGUUUGUUGCAUCGUGUCUGAAGAAAUGCAACAAGGACAUCCUCAAGAACCAGCUGGUGAAGCCCACAGCAGGUUUGCCGCCUGGCAAACUAAAGCAUGCUGGGACGCCACCGCAUGCCAGCAAAGAGCAGCCCUUGAUGAAGAAAAAGAAGCCGCUAGCUAAAAUCCUCGAGGCUCCUGUCCUCAGUGAAAGCAGCAGCAGCAGCAGCUCGUCAUCCAGCUGUGGAGGCAGCAGCAGUAGUACUUAUAGCACUUCAGAAAGCAGCGACUCUGAAUCAGCGCCAAAAUCCAAAAAGACGAAGGGCACAGACUCUUGCCAAAAGGUCAAGGCGGCGGAGUCAAAAGCGGCUCGUGCAGCCUGCGGCAAGCACAUAUCGGAGGUGAAAGUCUUGACUAAAGCCUCGCUCAAGUAUUACCAGCCCCCUCUGACCGCGCAGUCCUCUGUGCCAGAGACCAAAGGCCACCCAACGCAGCGUAACGUGAAUCUGACCUGUGAUGAGCUGCCUUUAUCUCCUCCAGAUCUGUCUGCCCUUUUAUCCCCCAUGGUGUCUCCGGGAGUUAUGCUGGACUGGACCACCACCAGGUUCGAGGGCCCGGUGCUGUCCCCUCUGAGCGACAGCCCGCUGCCGUCCACAGAUGACCGCCGGUCCAGACAUUUUUCUGAAAAAUGCAGAGUCCUGGGCGAAAGUGGUGCAGCAGUCAGUCAGUGCGAGUGCAAUCAAGUCGUCUAAGGAGAGCUUCCAGAAGUUCCGCAGGGCGGCCAUGAAAAAGGAGGAACUUGAAAAAGCUCUGAAGAACAAACCAAUGGAGGACAGCACUGCUGAAAAGAGCAGCUUGCCGGGGCCAUGCAGAGCAGAAACGCAUCCCCAGCCCAUUAAGGACGCUCCCGACUCGCCAGGGAGUAUCUGCACAGAAGCUACCCUAGAUGCUCCAAAAAUUGUAGAGAGACAAAUGUCUCCCG